CAUAACUUUAAAUGCUAAAAAAAUAUUAUUUCAAAGUACGAUAAUUUUUUAACACAAACGAUAAUUUUGCGGCCCUGAGCCGAUAAUGCUCUCUGCUAGAAAUGCCAAUACUGGGCAAAAUGCAGUAAAUUGCCGUAACUCGGAUCCAUCAGGAGUAAUAUGAGUUGUAGUGUAAUGUAAAGUGCAUAAAACGAUAAAAUCGGCACAUAGAUAUUUUGAGCAUCUUGUCAACUCUCAAUAAAUGGAGCAAAAAAAAGGAAUGCUAAAUGUAUUAGAUACUGGAUCGACGCUGAUUAGUUUCAACUUGCUCAUUUACACUUAUCUGAUAUUGGCUGGUUGUGAUCAAGCAUACAUUGAAACUACGAGUUUAAAUGCAGAUUCUUCAGAGGUAGACACCUUAGAUGAAGUUCGCGGCUUUAACAAAAACGAUAAUAUAUUUGAAUUUCUUCAUGAAAAUAAAUAUAAGUAAUUCCGUUAUUAAAUUAUUAAGGGCGUCAAAAUUGUAACUUUGCCCGAAUUUUUAACAAAGUAUCUAUGAAUUCGAAAUUAUCAGUGACAAGACGAAAAAGUCAUAGUUUAAAUUUUUUUUUAACGAAUUGAAUUUUUUGAGAGUUUUCGGGAGCGUCAAAGUUGGAAAUUUUUGUACUUAGACCAAAAGGCCUACAAUAUUGAAAUUUGAAAUAAAUAUUAACUACGAUACUAGAAAAGUGAUAUUGAAAAUUUUUUCUUAGUAGAGUGAUAUAUCCUGGCUAUCAAGCAAGACCUGUUCUAAGCUCACUAGAUUUAAUUACCGACCUAUAGUCUAUUCCUAAAAUAAGGUAUCCUAAUUCCCAACAAUCAGAGUGCCUUAAGUAGAUAAUUAUAAUAAUUUAAAAGUAUAUAAUAAAUAAUAAGAAUAUCAUUAACUAACAUAUAUUUAUCAAA